rnacentral:rRNA from 1 species
UACGGAGGGUGCGAGCGUUAAUCGGAAUUACUGGGCGUAAAGGGUGCGUAGGUGGUUUAUUAAGUUAUCUGUAAAAUCCCCGGGCUUAACCUGGGAAGGCCAGAUAAGACUGAUAGACUCGAGUAUGGGAGAGGGUAGUGGAAUUUCCGGUGUAGCGGUGAAAUGCGUAGAUAUCGGAAGGAACACCAGUGGCGAAGGCGGCUACCUGGCCUAAUACUGACACUGAGGCACGAAAGCGUGGGGAGCAAACAGG